AUGUACGGAGCAAAGAAGGUUCUAUGCCCUCUAGGAUUGGAGGUGAAGAAGAUACAUGCAUGCCCUAAUGACUGCAUCCUUUACCUCGGUGCGUACGGGGAUUUGAACGCAUGCCCGGUAUGCGGUGCAUUGCGGUAUAAGAUCAGACGAGAUGACCCUGGUGAUGUUGAGGGCGAGCGGCCCAGGAAGAGGGUUCCUGCCAAGGUGAUGUUGUAUGCUCCUAUAAUACCACGGUUGAAACGUCUGUUCAGAAAUAAAGAGCAUGCCAAGUUGAUGCGAUGGCACAAAGAGGACCGUAAGAAAGACGGAAAGUUGAGAGCACCCGUUGAUGGGUCGCAGUGGAGAAAAAUCGAGAGAAAGUGGGGGGACUUUGCAGGUGACGCAAGAAACAUAUGGUUUGGUUUAAGCGCGGAUGGCAUUAAUCCUUUUGGGGAGCAGAGCAGCAAUCAUAGCACCUGGCCUGUGACUCUAUGUAUCUAUAACCUUCCUCCUUGGUUGUGCAUGAAGCAGAAGUUCAUUAUGAUGCCAUUUCUCAUCCAAGGCCCUAAGCAACCCGGCAACGACAUUGAUGUGUACCUAAGGCCAUUAUUUGAAGAACUUUUACAGACGUGGAAUGAAAAAGGUGUACAUGUGUGGGAUGAGCAAGACCAGCAGGAAUUUGACCUACAUGCGUUGAUGUUUGUAACCAUCAAUGAUUGGCCUGCUCCGAGUAACCUUUCAGGACAGACAAACAAGGGAUUGAUACAUCUCCAACUUAUCUAUAAUUUUUUUAUUGUUCCAUGA
rnacentral:rRNA from 1 species